UACGUAGGGGGGCAAGCGUUGUCCGGAUUUAUUGGGCGUAAAGAGCGUGUAGGCGGCCAUACAGGUCCGUUGUGAAAACUGGAGGCUUAACCUCCAGUCGUCGAUGGAAACCGUAUGGCUAGAGUCCGGAAGAGGAGAGUGGAAUUCCUGGUGUAGCGGUGAAAUGCGCAGAUAUCAGGAAGAACACCCGUGGCGAAGGCGGCUCUCUGGGACGGUACUGACGCUGAGACGCGAAAGCGUGGGGAGCAAACAGG
rnacentral:rRNA from 1 species